GAACUCCUGAUUGGUCUUUGAUCCCUGGAACUGGAAUUUCAUUGAAAAUUUUUGGUCACAGGGUGAGGAAGAGUCACCUAUUUGGUGGGCUAUGAGAGAUGGAGAUCAAAAGCCAUUCUCCUCCUUUUGAAUGAAUUGAUUUGAACUUCUGGAUUUUCAUCUAAAGGGAAAGGAGAUUUGUCUUCUCUCUCCCUAGAGCCAAGGAUGACUUUGAGUUCAUGGCAUCAAAAGGAGGUGCCUUUCUAGAUUUUUCUCUGGAAUUCUACUCCAAGGAAUGAGCAGAAUGAAGCAGAAAGUGCAAGCAAAGCUUAAUCCUUCCUUUGGAGUCAGUUUGCCCCGAUCCAUGUAAGUCUGGGAUAGUAGCCUCUUGUGGGAAGAGGCCCCUGGGUCAUGGGGAACUACUUCUGGUCUCUUCUAGACCCCUAAAAGGCAAGCACCAAACAGGAGUGGAACCAUUAGUAGAGGCAUCACCUUCACCCUCUUCUUCCCACAAAUCACCAUCUUCACUACCAUCCAUAUGGUUUGAUAUACAAGCACAAUGGUGAAGAUUUUGUCCCAAGUGGUUGUGAUCCAGUUCCCUAAUACAGUGACCAACAGUUUCUUAUUUUUUCCAUUGGAGUAAAUUCAUGUUUUCCAGCUGA